rnacentral:misc_RNA from 1 species
AAGAAUCAUUUAGUUUGUAAUAAAUGAAAUUAGAAACUUAGCACUAGAUUGAUGUUAUUUUUAUGAUUCUUCCUAUCUUGGACAUCCACUUCUUUUCAUUUUAAGAGCUCUCCAAAUGGAAUUGUAGAGAUCAUGAUGAGCCUUCGCUGGUAGUUGUGAGAAGUCACUGUACUACACCUGUCUGAUCUGAUGGCAAUGGCAUUAUUAGGGUUUGACUUUGGGGCUGCGUUAGAUU